AGGGCAGACCAGGUAGCUACUCCGCCCCGAUUUUACAUCGGGACGGGGAGGAAAGUCCGGGCUCCGGAGGACAGGAUGUUCUUCUCCGGUGGAGCCGGAGGGAUCCCCGCAAGGGGAGGAAAGUGCCACAGAAAUUAUACCGUCCUCCCGAUUUAUAUCGGGGGGGUAAGGGUGAAAUAGUGUGGUAAGAGCACACUUCCCACGAUGUAACAGGGGAAGGUAAACCCCAUCCGGAGCAAAGCCAAGUAAGAGGGGAGAGUGUGUCCGCUCCAUUAACCCUCGGGUAGGCUGCUGAGAUAAAUGGCUACCGAAUACAGAACCCGGCUUAUGGUCUACCCUGGGU
rnacentral:RNase_P_RNA from 1 species